GACGAACGCUGGCGGCGUGCCUAAUACAUGCAAGUCGAACGAGAGCAACCGGUGCUUGCACUGGUCAAUCUAGUGGCGAACGGGUGAGUAACACGUGGGUAACCUGCCCAUCAGAGGGGGAUAACAUCCGGAAACGGAUGCUAAAACCGCAUAGGUCUUCGAACCGCAUGGUUUGAAGAGGAAAAGAGGCGCAAGCUUCUGCUGAUGGAUGGACCCGCGGUGCAUUAGCUAGUUGGUGAGGUAACGGCUCACCAAGGCCGUGAUGCAUAGCCGACCUGAGAGGGUGAUCGGCCACAUUGGGACUGAGACACGGCCCAAACUCCUACGGGAGGCAGCGGUAGGGAAUCUUCCGCAAUGGACGCAAGUCUGACGGAGCAACGCCGCGUGAGUGAAGAAGGUUUUCGGAUCGUAAAACUCUGUUGUUAGAGAAGAACAAGUGCUAGAGUAACUGUUAGCGCCUUGACGGUAUCUAACCAGAAAGCCACGGCUAACUACGUG
rnacentral:rRNA from 1 species